rnacentral:rRNA from 1 species
UACGGAGGGUGCGAGCGUUGUCCGGAAUCAUUGGGCGUAAAGGGCGCGUAGGUGGCGCGGUAAGCGUGCGGUGAAAGCCUGGGGCUCAACCCCGGGUCGGCCGUGCGAACUGCUGGGCUUGAGCACUGUAGAGGCAGGCGGAAUUCCGGGGUGUAGCGGUGGAAUGCGUAGAGAUCCGGAAGAACACCGGUGGCGAAGGCGGCCUGCUGGGCAGUUGCUGACACUGAGGCGCGACAGCGUGGGGAGCCAAAG